CAUCUUCUGAGAUAUGCGUAAGGUGAUUAGUUGUGAAAUCCGAACAUUUCUGAUUAGGGAAUCCGAUUCGCUAGUGUGGUGUUGAAUGCCUAGCUUUUAUCACCUAGGACUCCUAAAACACUAGAUACGAUGCCCACCUGCUAUUUUAGCGGGUUUAUAUCCUAACACCUACGGUAUUUUGGAUAAACA
rnacentral:other from 1 species